rnacentral:rRNA from 1 species
UGAGUACGAGAUGCUACGGCAUCGAAGCAGUCUAUGUCAUACUUCCAAGAAAAGCUUGCAAUGUCAUAAACAAAUAAUGCCUGUACCAUAACCGACACAGGUGGGUAGGUAGAGUAUACUAAGGGGCGCGAGAUAACUCUCUCUAAGGAACUCGGCAAAAUGACUCCGUAACUUCGGGAGAAGGAGUGCCUUAUUUUUAUAAGGUUGCAAUAACAAGAUCCAAGCAACUGUUUACCAAAAACACAGGUCUCCGCUAAGUCGUAAGACGAUGUAUGGGGGCUGACGCCUGCCCAGUGCCAGAAGGUUAAAGAAGUUGGUUAGCAUUAGCGAAGCUGAUAACUGAAGCCCUGGUGAACGGCGGCCGUAACUAUAACGGUCCUAAGGUAGCGAAAUUCCUUGUCGGGUAAGUUCCGACCCGCACGAAAGGCGUAAUGAUUUGGAUACUGUCUCGGAGAGGGGCUCGGUGAAAUAGACUUGUCUGUGAAGAUGCGGACUACCUGCACCUGGACAGAAAGACCCUAUGAAGCUUUACUGUAACUUGAGAUUGAAAUUGGACUUUAUCUGCGCAGUAUAGGUGGGAGACGUUGAAAAUAUUCUUGCGGGAAUAUUGGAGUCAUCAGUGAGAUACCACUCUUAUAAUGUUAGAUUUCUAACUUUGUAUCAUUAUCUGGUCAAAGAACAGUUUCAGGCGGGCAGUUUGACUGGGGCGGUCGCCUCCCAAACGGUAACGGAGGCGCACAAAGGUUUCCUCUGAACGUGUAGAAAUCGUAUCUAGAGUGUAAAGGCAUAAGGAAGCUUGACUGUGAGACCUACAAGUCGAGCAGGGACGAAAGUCGGUCUUAGUGAUCUGACGGUGCUGAGUGGAAAGGCCGUCACUCAACGGAUAAAAGUUACUCUAGGAUAACAGGCUGAUCUCCCCCAAGAGUUCACAUCGACGGGGAGGUUUGGCACCUCGAUGUCGGCUCAUCGCAUCCUGGGGCGGUAGUACGUCCCAAGGGUUGGGCUGUUCGCCCAUGAAAGCGGUACGCGAGCUGGGUUCAGAACGUCGUGAGACAGUUCGGUCCAUAUCCGGUGUAGGCGUUAGAAUAUUGAGAGGAGCCUUCUUUAGUACGAGAGGACCGAGAAGGACAUACCUCUGGUGUACCAGUUAUCGUGCCAACGGUAAACGCUGGGUAGCCAUGUAUGGAGAGGAUAACCGCUGAAAGCAUCUAAGUGGGAAGCCCACCUCAAGAUAAGUAUUCUCAUC